rnacentral:rRNA from 1 species
GACGAACGCUGGCGGCGUGCCUAACACAUGCAAGUCGAGCGGGGUUGAAGCGAGGGGUAACUCGAGUUUCUACCUAGCGGCGGACGGGUGAGUAACGCGUGGGCAACCUGCCUCAAGGACUGGGAUAACAGCUCGAAAGGGCUGCUAAUACCGGAUAAGCCUAUGGCCUCGCAUGGGGCCAUGAGCAAAGGGGAAACCCGCCUUGAGAUGGGCCCGCGUCCCAUCAGCUAGUUGGUGAGGUGAAGGCUCACCAAGGCGACGACGGGUAGCCGGCCUGAGAGGGUGACCGGCCACACUGGGACUGAGACACGGCCCAGACUCCUACGGGGGGCAGCAGUGGGGAAUCUUGCACAAUGGGCGAAAGCCUGAUGCAGCGACGCCGCGUGAGCGAAGAAGGCCUCGGUUGUAAGACUCUGUCUGGGGGACGGAAGGAAGUGACGGUACCGUCCGGAGGAAGGCCGACGGCGUAACUACGUGCCGAGCAGCCGCGGUAAUAUCACGUGUAC